UUUUUUCUUUUUUUUUUUUUUUAAAUUUUCUUUUAUCGUAUCGGUUCAUGUUGCUCGCAUUUACAUAAGCUCAUAUUGCAACAAUUAUUGCUAUUUUUGAUGAUUGAAUACCCUGUGGCUUAGGAAAGCUGAGGGUAGAAUCUUUGGAAAACAUCUCAUUACUAACAGUUCCAUGUCCCCAGCACUCUCGGGAUGUCUCGGAAACAAUUAUCAGGCCACAAACAAAAUAUAAUCUUCAACUCUCCCGGAAAAUAUCAAAUAAAAAAGAUUUGGCGGAGAAAAUUGAAAGUGCUCUCAGCAAGAAAAGACGCUACAGAGUUGAGCAGAUAUUUCUACUUUUUAGAUUUGUACUGUUUUAUCUCUUUAAUAAUACCAUCUGCCAGUGACUCGACAUCAUUGUUCUUCCCAAAGAACUUCACAAAUUCCAUGCGAGGAUCCAUCAAGUACAUGACUAUGGAGUGAUCGACCAGAUAAUCUGAAUCUUCCUCUGCUGUCUUCAUAUAAUAGACCCGAUAUGCACGAGCAGCUUUCUUUAUCUCAUCAGGGUUGCCAGUUAACCCAAUUAAUUUUGGAUGGAACUCUUUGACAUAUUCGUGCACUUGCUCAACAGUAUCUCUCUCAGGAUCGACAGAGAUGAAAACAGGCACAAGUUCAAACCCUGAUUUUUCCUUUAUUUUAUCAACUGCAGCAGCAAGCUUUUGCAGCUCAUCCGGGCAAAUAUCAGGGCAGUGAGUGAAACCAAAAUAUAUUAAUGUCCAG
rnacentral:misc_RNA from 1 species